AAUGUUCAGACAUUGCCUUUUACACUUACUUUCACUGCAAUUUAUAAUCCUUUUAGAGCACAAGACUGCUGACGUAGAAUUGGAAGAUGAAAGUCAGUCUGUUCUUCAUGAAACUCUCCAUUCCCAGCCUGGAGAGAGGCACGAAGAUGUAGAUGAAAGUAUAAGUGACCAGUGGCAAGUGAAGGAAGAAAUACAUGGAGAAACUUUUGAAGCUCCUACAACAGAUGACAUGCACAGAGGAUUAGAGAAUGAAAUGCCAGAAGCAUAUGAGACACCAGACUCAAUUCAGAAAGAUGCUGAUCUUUUGGCAGAUGGUCUUGAAGCAGUGGAGUCUGAGCCCUAUGAAGUUCCAGCUUCAGAUGAUUAUGUUGUAUCUAUGGAGGGAAGAGUAAAUGAUCCAGAAGCUCCAGGUGACUCUGAGGUAGUACUAGAAGAUGCUAUGGAACAUUACACAGAACCCAAACAUGAAAAGCAGACUGAGACUCAAGACACAGCUAUUCACGACCUUCCAGAGGAGGUGAAUGAAGCCACAGAGCCAGAUAAAGUUACUGAAGAUUUUGAUGUUGCUAAAGAUGUUUCAGGUACGAGUUUUUAUAGUUUGUGAAAGAAAAAAUUUAUAUUAAUAUAAUUAAAAAACAAGCAAAUGAAAAACAAAGCAGAUAAA
rnacentral:lncRNA from 1 species